rnacentral:rRNA from 1 species
GACGAACGCUGGCGGCGUGCUUAACACAUGCAAGUCGAACGGUGAAGCGCCUUCCUUUUUGGUGGGUGUGGAUGAGUGGCGAACGGGUGAGUAACACGUGAGUAACCUGCCCCCUUCUUCUGGAUAACCGCAUGAAAGUGUGGCUAAUACGGGAUAUUCUGGGUCUGUCGCAUGAUGGGUCUGGGAAAGAUAUUGUUUCGGUGGGGGAUGGGCUCGCGGCCUAUCAGCUUGUUGGUGGGGUGAUGGCCUACCAAGGCGGUGACGGGUAGCCGGCCUGAGAGGGUUGACGGUCACACUGGGACUGAGACACGGCCCAGACUCCUACGGGAGGCAGCAGUGGGGAAUAGUGCACAAUGGGCGCAAGCCUGAUGCAGCGACGCCGCGUGAGGGAUGGAGGCCUUCGGGUUGUGAACCUCUUUCGCCAGUGAAGCAGGCCUGCCUCGUUUGUGGGUGGGUUGACGGUAGCUGGAUAAGAAGCGCCGGCUAACUACGUG